UGACGACGCGACGCUAAAGCGUUGAAGCAGUGUACGUCAGACUUCCAAGAAAAGCUCGCAAUGUCAUGAAUAAAAAAUGCCUGUACCAUAACCGACACAGGUGGGUAGGUAGAGUAUACUAAGGGGCGCGAGAUAACUCUCUCUAAGGAACUCGGCAAAAUGACUCCGUAACUUCGGGAGAAGGAGUGCCUUAUUUAUAAGGUUGCAAUAACAAGAUCCAAGCAACUGUUUAUCAAAAACACAGGUCUCCGCUAAGUCGUAAGACGAUGUAUGGGGGCUGACGCCUGCCCAGUGCCAGAAGGUUAAAGAAGUUGGUUAGUGUAUGCGAAGCUGGUGACUGAAGCCCUGGUGAACGGCGGCCGUAACAAUAACGGUCCUAAGGUAGCGAAAUUCCUUGUCGGGUAAGUUCCGACCCGCACGAAAGGCGUAAUGAUUUGGAUACUGUCUCGGAGAGAGGCUCGGUGAAAUAGACUUGUCUGUGAAGAUGCGGACUACCUGCACCAGGACAGAAAGACCCUAUGAAGCUUUACUGUAACUUGAAAUUGGAAUUGGACUUUGCUUGCGCAGUAUAGGUGGGAAGCGUUGAAGAUAUUCUUGCGGGAGUAUUGGAGCUAUCAGUGAGAUACCACUCUUGUAAUGUUAGAUUUCUAACUUUGAACCAUAAUCUGGUCAAAGAACAGUUUCAGGUGGGCAGUUUGACUGGGGCGGUCGCCUCCCAAAUGGUAACGGAGGCGUACAAAGGUUUCCUCUGAACGGAUAGAAAUCGUAUCUAGAGUGUAAAGGCAUAAGGAAGCUUGACUGUGAGACCUACAAGUCGAGCAGGGACGAAAGUCGGUCUUAGUGAUCUGACGGUACUGAGUGGAAAGGCCGUCACUCAACGGAUAAAAGUUACUCUAAGGAUAACAGGCUGAUCUCCCCCAAGAGUUCACAUCGACGGGGAGGUUUGGCACCUCGAUGUCGGCUCAUCGCAUCCUGGGGCGGUAGUACGUCCCAAGGGUUGGGCUGUUCGCCCAUGAAAGCGGUACGCGAGCUGGGUUCAGAACGUCGUGAGACAGUUCGGUCCAUAUCCGGUGUAGGCGUUAGAAUAUUGAGAGGAGCCUUCUUUAGUACGAGAGGACCGAGAAGGACACACCGCUGGUGUACCAGUUAUCGUGCCAACGGUAAACGCUGGGUAGCUAUGUGUGGAGUGGAUAACCGCUGAAAGCAUCUAAGUGGGAAGCCCACCUCAAGAUGAGUAUUCUCUUGUAAGGUCACGGGAAGACGACCCGUAAAUAGGCAC
rnacentral:rRNA from 1 species